GGAGAGCGAAAAGAAGUCUGCGUUCUCAAUUACACAUGGUAUCAGCCUCGGAUACUCUUAGAUGCUGCCCCAGUUCACUGCCAAGGAUGCCAGGUUGUCAUCAGAGAAGAGCUGAUGCUGGCAACAUGCCAUGGAAUCUGCUGAAUUCCAGGAGGCCCUGACCUUACCACCACGAGCAUGUGUGAAUUCCCACACCACAAAGAUUUUGUUCUUCCGUUGGUCACCAUCUCUAAUCUGUAGUUUCCUCCAAUUCCCAACUGGACAGUUUGAACUGUAUUGUUGGUCUUUGAGACUGUUUGCACAGAAUAAUGUGAAGAGUUUAAGAAAACACAUGACACUGGAUUGGGUCCAGUAGCAGCAAGUAUGAGACUCUGGGCACAGACAAUUUUGUCUUCUGGAAGCACCUCAAUGGGCUAUGUGAACCACUGGUUGCUGAUUUUUGAGAAAGAAGCUAGACUGACUUCGCUGAGAUGAGGAUGUAUAUGGAGGAUCAUUAGAAUGUUGUUAGAAUCCCAGUGAGAGGUGAUGAGACAGGUAAAUAAGAUGAAGAAAGAGGGAAAGCGUGGUGUGACGCAGUCUGUUGUGGCGUGAAUGAAUUUGUUCGUGGAAUAACUUGAAAAGUAGUAAGACAAAGGUCCACUUGAAAUGGAUCUGGAAACCAUCAACAUUUAUUGGUAGUUGAAGUUGUGAGAAUCGGUGAGAACCCCCAGGAAUGAAACGGGACCAGAUCUAGGAAGAAGGCUGACAUUUGCAGGAGGAACCAAUGAGGAAGCCCCAGGGAGCAACCAGACCGAUGAGA
rnacentral:lncRNA from 1 species